UACGUAGGGUGCGAGCGUUAAUCGGAAUUACUGGGCGUAAAGCGUGCGCAGGCGGUUUUGUAAGCCAGAUGUGAAAUCCCCGGGCUUAACCUGGGAAUCGGCAUUUGGGACUGCAAGGCUCGAGUGCGGCAGAGGAGACGUGGAAUUCCUGGUGUAAGCAGUGAAAUGCGUAGAUAUCAGGAGGAACACCGAUGGAGCGA
rnacentral:rRNA from 1 species